ACGGAGGGGGCUAGCGUUGUUCGGAAUUACUGGGCGUAAAGAGCGCGUAGGCGGUUUAGUAAGUUGGAAGUGAAAGCCCGGGGCUUAACCUCGGAAUUGCUUUCAAAACUGCUAGGCUAGAGUGUAGUAGGGGAUGAUGGAAUUCCUAGUGUAGAGGUGAAAUUCUUAGAUAUUAGGAGGAACACCGGUGGCGAAGGCGGUCAUCUGGGCUACAACUGACGCUGAGGCGCGAAAGCGUGGGGAGCAAACAGG
rnacentral:rRNA from 1 species